AGAAAGCUAUGCUGAAACAGUAGUCUUACUAUGAGAGCGCGAAAAACCUUGCCGGGCGGACAAACAAGAGACAAACGAAUCCUUUCACGUUGCAUUUACCGUGUAAUAUCCCUGCGUAUUUAUUAAUCACACGACGCCGCCUCAGGUGUUGAGUCAUACGGUAACAUUCCCAGUUUCGAACAACAAAAAAACUAGGAUCUGACGUUCGCUACAGGAAGUCCGGGCAGGUAGCUCAGUGUAGUUAUUCCGCAGUGUAUCUGGCUUGGCUGUUGACGAGAAACCUUGAAAGUGAGGAGAAGGUGAUGAGAAGGGGGGAAAAGUAAGAGACAAGUUAACCCAUUACAGAAACCAUUCAUUUACAAGGUUGCUUCUGUGCAUAAAAACUCUCCCCUUCCUGUGAAGUGGGCCAGAGAGUGUGGCCUGAGCCUCGCAGGGCUAGAUUACAGGUGUCGGCCUAGACCCUCGCAGUCUCUGAGCCUGGCACCAGUCUGUGAGGAGGAGAACUGAGGACUUCUACGUCUCCCACACCAUUGCUGGUCACAAGCGCCCUCUACUGGUUCAGAUAAACCACAG